ensembl:lncRNA
CACAAUGUGGGGGAAGCAUUGAACAUCACUUGCACCCCAAGCGAUUAGCAAGAGCGAGCUACUGCCAGUAAUUAUUUCACACUUUGCAGUCUAUAUUUUACAGCAUCCUCUUUGGAAAAUGUAUCGGAGAGGUUCUCGCUUCGUGCUAGAUACAAGGGCACCCCGCCAUGUCCUCCUACCUCGCGGCUACCCUCAGUCCCACCAAAUCCAGGCACGCCAUUUCUACCCCUCAUCCCACCUCGUCAUGCUACCCCGAUUCUACCCCCCACCCCCAGUCAUGAAUCAACACCACUCCUUCAUCCCACCUGUCCAGUUUGAAGAUGGCAGUAUGAUCACUCCUCGGGCUCCUGCCACUGACGUGCUCACACGCGAUGAACAAAUGGCACCUGUGUCCACAUUACCGCUUGAGCGUCAGCUCACCUCCAAUCUGCCUCCUGGCCAACGCAGGGAUGCAGUGCCUGAUGUAUCUUCACCCACACCCCCAACUCCUUCACAUCUCACAGGGGGGGAGAUAAUGAAGGCAGAGAAGCCUGUGACAUCCACAGCCCCAACUCCUACACCUCUCACAGGGGGUGAGAUAAUGAAGGCAGAGGAGCCCAUGACAUCCAAAGCCCCAACUCCUACACCUCUCACAGGGGGUGAAAUAAUGAAGGCAGAGAAGCCCAUGACAUCCACAGCCCCAACUCCUACACCUCUCAUAGGAGGUGAGAUAAUGGAGGCAGUGGAGCCAGUGACAUCCACAGCCCCAACUCCUACACCUCUCACAAGAGGUGAGAUAAUGGAGGCAGUGGAGGCAGAGACAUCCACAGCCCAACUCCAUCACCUCUCACUUAGGCAGAGAUUGUGGAGGCAGUGGAGGCAGAGACGUCCACAGCCCCAACUCCAACACGUCUCACUUGGGCAGAGAGUAUGGAGGCAGAGACAUCCACAGCCCCAACUCCAACACAUCUCACUCGAUCAGAGAGUAUGGAGGCAGAGACCUCCACAGCCCCAACUCCAACAAGUCUCACUUGGGCUGAGAUUAUGGAGGCAGAGGAACCCGAGACGUCUACAGCCCCCAUUCCUACACCUCCCACCUUGGGUGUGAUUAUGGAGGAAGAGGAGGCAGAGAUGUCCACAGCCCCAACUCCUACACAUCUCACUUGGGCUGAGAUUAUGGAGGCAGAGGAGGGAGAGACGUCCACAGCCCCGACUCCUACACCUAUGAUUGGGUAUAAAAAGCAUAUCUUAGAACAGCAGAGUCUCUCAGAAGUAAAGAGGUUCAACAAUCUGUGAAAAACUGCAUCUCCAAAUUGUGCAAAUACAGUGCAUCCGGAAAUUAUUCACAGUGCUUCAUUUUUUCCACAUUUUUAAAAAAAUGUUUUUUAAGCCUUAUUCCAAAAUGAAUUAAAAUAAUUAUUUUCCUCAAAAUUCAAAACAUGAAAUAAAUUUGUCUGAAAUCUUUGCAAAUUUAUUACAAAUAAAAAAACAAAAAAAGCACAUAUACAUAAGUAUUCACAGCCUUUGCCAUGACACUCAAAAUUGAGCUUAGGUGCAUCCUGUUUCACUGAUCAUCCUUGAGAUGUUUCUACAACUUGAUUGGAGUCCACCUGUGGUAAAUUCAGUUGAUUGGACAUGAUUUGGUAAGGCACACACCUAUCUAUAUAAGGUCCCACAGUUAACAAAGCAUGUCAGAGCACAAACCAAGCCAUGAAGUCCAAGGAAUUGUCUGUAGACCUCCGAGACAGGAUUCUAUCGAGGCACAGGUCUGGGGAAGGGUACAGAAACAUUUCUGCAGCAUUGAAGGUCCCAAUGAGCACAGUGGCCUCCAUCAUCCGUAAAUGAGACAUAAUGAUACACACAAUGAUACAGAAAAUGAUAAGAAAAAACACACAGUAACACCAGUGACACAAUGAAUCACCAGUGACAUACAAGACCAAAGAUCCUUAUUCCUCAAAUCUAAUUAAGAAAAUGGUUUCAUUUGGCAUGCAGUCAAACUCAUUGACAAUAGGUCAAAACACCUGAACGUUCAUAAAUAAGAGCUUAAGCACACUUGAACUCAAUUAAGAGUAACAACUAAAAAGGUCCAAAAAAGACCAUUAUCAUUUGGGAUCAGCAUCUCUACGCUGCCUGUACUGCCGCUAGUUCUCAGCUGCACUCAAUUUAGCCAUAACUGUGCAAAAGAGCAUUAACAAUGAGAAAGACGUUAUAAUCCUGAAAACAGUGAUAUUCUAUGCCAGGGGUGUCCAAUCUUAUCCGGAAAGGGCCGGUGUGGGUGCAGGUUUUCAUUCCAACCAAGCAGGAGCCACACCUGAUUCCUCCUGUUUAAUCAGUUGAUCUUGGCUUUCAGUAGACUCAGGUGUGGCUUCUGCUUGAUUGGAAUGAAAACCUGCACCCACACCGGCCCUUUCUGGAUAAGAUUGGACACCCCUGUUCUAUGCAAAAGAACUCAAGGAACAGCAUUGAAUAAAGUUUAUUUAUACAUAGGGCGGCCUGUGGCUCAGGUGGUAGAGCGGGUUGUCCACUAAUUGUAGGGUUGGCGGUUCGAUUGCUGGCCCACAUGACUCCACAUGCCGAAGUGUCCUUGCGUAAGACACUAAACCCCAAGUUGCUCCCGAUGGUAAGUUAGCACCUUGCAUGGCAGCUCUGCUACCAUUGGGGUGUGUGUGUGUGUGUGUGUGUGUGUGUGUGUGUGUGUGUGUGUGUGUGUGUGUGUGUGUGAAUGAGACAGUGUAAAGCGCUUUGGAUAAAAGUGCUAUAUAAGUGCGCCAUUUACAUAGGAGUCACCAGUGUUACCUAUAAGUAAGGUAACACCAGUGACAAUUUUCAUGAAAAAUACAUUUUACAAAGCUGCUACAGGGCCUCAAGCCACAUGUUGUAAAUCAUGGCAUACACACUAAAAUAUGUAAUUUAAUCCAUUUGUAUUAAAAUUUAUUUUUUUUUAAAUUUAUUUUUUACAUUUCCCUAAGAAUAAUGUAGGUCAUACCAGUGACCUCAACCAAAAGCUUCGUAUGAAAUCUUGAUAUAAAUGACAAUAUUUCUAAUAACUAAAGAGACAGUGGACUUACCAUGUGCCUUUCUUCAUAGACCCUCAGGGAAGGAUCUAUAUAAUGAAAUUAUUUAUCAAAAUAAUGAAUUUAAUUCAAUUUUGGAAUAAGGCUGUAACAUAACAAAAUGUGGAAAAACACUUUGUGAAUACUUUCCGGAUGCACUGUAAAGUGAUAUGUGUAGGGGUCAACUCACUAGUCCAACGACGGUAUCUAAGGACGUGGUAGAAGGAUUCCCACGUGUUCCUGUCUUUUUGAAGCGAUGUGAAUAUAUUUAAAUUUGUCAUUCCAAUUCUGCUUGAUUCUCUCAUAAAUUAAAUCUGAUUCCAAUCAUAAAAA